AGGGUUUGAUCAUGGCUCAGAACGUACGCUGGCGGCACGCCUAAUACAUGCAAGUCGAACGAAGUAGCAAUACUUAGUGGCAGACGGGUGAGUAACAUGUGGGUAUCUUCCCUUUGGUGAGGAAUAACACGAGGAAACUUGUGCUAAUACCUCAUAAGUCUUUACAGAGAAAGCUUUAUGCGCCAUUGGAUGAGCCUGCACUUGAUUAGUUUGUUGGUGGGGUAAUGGCCUACCAAGACAAUGAUCAAUAGCUGAUUUGAGAGGAUGAUCAGCCACAUUGGGACUGAGACACGGCCCAAACUCCUACGGGAGGCAGCAGUAGGGAAUCUUGCACAAUGGAGGAAACUCUGAUGCAGCGAUGCCGCGUGAGUGAAGAAGGCCUUUGGGUUGUAAAGCUCUUUCGUCGGGGAAGAAAAUGACUGUACCCGAAUAAGAAGGUCCGGCUAACUUCGUGCCAGCAGCCGCGGUAAUACGAAGGGACCUAGCGUAGUUCGGAAUUACUGGGCUUAAAGAGUUCGUAGGUGGUUAAAAAAGUUGAUGGUGAAAUCCCAGAGCUUAACUCUGGAACUGCCAUCAAAACUUUUUAGCUAGAGUAUGAUAGAGGAAAGCAGAAUUUCUAGUGUAGAGGUGAAAUUCGUAGAUAUUAGAAAGAAUACCAAUUGCGAAGGCAGCUUUCUGGAUCAUUACUGACGCUGA
rnacentral:rRNA from 1 species